ensembl:misc_RNA 7SK 7SK RNA
AGAUGUGAGCGCAAUCUGGCUGAGACAUCCAUCACGCCUUUGCUCAUCAGCACUGAUUCUACUGACUUGACCAGUGAGGCAGAUGUCCACCUCCCCCCACCUUCCUUACUACUCCACGUGGUCCCCUCCCCGAGUGCUUCAUGUGGGAACACUGGUAAGUCAACAGGAAGGGAGGCCAUGAUCCUUGAUGAGAUUGUCUAAGUAAAGAGUAGAGAGUAAGAGGAGAAGAGGGUUGGGGAUAAAUAUUAGAUGAAUGCUAACAGUGAAUGGUUAAGUUGU